GUGACUUCUUUGGUAAAUUGGAGGCCAUGAAAAUGUUUAACAUUGUAACAUAUGGCUAAUAAAUAUUACACAUUGUAAAAGAGAUGCCUGCUGGCUUGCUUAGGUAUGGCUUCUUAUUUUAUAGGGCCAUCCUUUUCGUUGUUGUCUCUGAUGACAGUACUACCUAAAACAGGGCAGCUAUUCUUUUCAUUGGAAAUCCAAACUGCGUAUUUUAAUGUCACCUCAGCCCUUCCAAUACUUUCUUUCUCUCUUGCACAACCUCAUCUGAAUCUUGUCUUUUUUCUAUUUCUUUUCCUGACUUCCUCAAUCUACACAACACCACAGCAGGCAAAGGAAUGGUCGAUACGGCCUAUGCCAGCCUUGCUCGCAACAAAGGGCUUGACCAGUGAGCUGUCCUAAGCUCACAAAACCCAUGGGGCUGGUCAAAGCUUGGUCAGAGAUAGCCCAAAAAGCUAUGCAGGGUCAGGUAGGGAGGAGGAGGAGAUAAGGGUAGGUUUCUACAUGCUUUGGUUUUGGGUCUUG
rnacentral:lncRNA from 1 species